GGAAACUCGGCUUAACCGAAGAAGUGCAUCGGAAACCGGGCGACUUGAGUGCAGAAGAGGACAGUGGAACUCCAUGUGUAGCGGUGGAAUGCGUAGAUAUAUGGAAGAACACCAGUGGCGAAGGCGGCUGUCUGGUCUGCAACUGACGCUGAGGCUCACAAAGCAUGGGUAGCGAACAGGAUUAGAUACCCUGGUAGUCCAUGCCGUAAACGAUGAGUGCUAGGUGUUGGAGGGUUUCCGCCCUUCAGUGCCUGUUCUAACGCAUUAAUGCACUCCGCCUGGGGAGUACGACCGCAAGGUUGAAACUCAAAGGAAUUGACGGGGGCCCGCACAAGCGGUGAAGCAUGUGGUUUAAUUCGAAGCUACGCGAAGAACCUUACCAGGUCUUGACAUCUUGCGCUAACCUUAGAGAUAAGGCGUUCCCUUCGGGGACGUUAAUGACAGGUGGUGCAUGGUCGUCGUCAGCUCGUGUCGUGAGAUGUUGGAACUAAGUCCCGCAACGAGCGCAACCCUUGUUACUAGUUGCCAGCAUUAAGUUGGGGACUCUAGUGAGACUGCCGGUGACAAACCGGAGGAAGGUGGGGACGACGUCA
rnacentral:rRNA from 2 species